UCCUGGUUAGCUCAGUUGGUAGAGCGCUCCACUGGAAAUGGAGAGGCUCCUGGUUCGAUACCAGGACCAGGCG
rnacentral:tRNA from 1 species